rnacentral:rRNA from 1 species
GAUGAACGCUGGCGGCGUGCCUAAUACAUGCAAGUCGAGCGAACGGGCGAGAAGCUUGCUUCUCUGAUGUUAGCGGCGGACGGGUGAGUAACACGUGGAUAACCUACCUAUAAGACUGGGAUAACUUCGGGAAACCGGAGCUAAUACCGGAUAAUAUUUUGAACCGCAUGGUUCAAAAGUGAAAGACGGUCUUGCUGUCACUUAUAGAUGGAUCCGCGCUGCAUUAGCUAGUUGGUAAGGUAACGGCUUACCAAGGCAACGAUGCAUAGCCGACCUGAGAGGGUGAUCGGCCACACUGGUACUGAGACACGGUCCAGACUCCUACGGGAGGCAGCAGUAGGGAAUCUUCCGCAAUGGGCGAAAGCCUGACGGAGCAACGCCGCGUGAGUGAUGAAGGUCUUCGGAUCGUAAAACUCUGUUAUUAGGGAAGAACAUAUGUGUAAGUAACUGUGCACAUCUUGACGGUACCUAAUCAGAAAGCCACGGCUAACUACGUG